rnacentral:rRNA from 1 species
GACGAACCGUGCGAACGUUAUUCGGAAUCACUGGGCUUAAAGCGCGUGUAGGCGGGACGGCACGUCGGUCGUUGAAAGCCCCCGGCUCAACCGGGGAAUGGGCGCCGAUACGACCGUCCUGGAGGAACGUAGGGGGACCUGGAACUUCCGGUGGAGCGGUGAAAUGCGUUGAGAUCGGAAGGAACGCCCGUGGCGAAAGCGAGGUCCUGGACGUUUACUGACGCUGAGACGCGAAAGCCAGGGGAGCGAACGGG